ACUUCUCAACCCCGCCAAAGGCUUAAUUGACUUUCGGUUGUUUGGGCUUGGAUCAUGGUCUCUUGAAGUACUUUACUUCUGGACUGAAAUACAACAAGUUGAAUGAAUCCAAUUGCAGCUUGACCUGAUGUUGUAAACUACUCAUUGGGGAUGCAAUCCGAAUCAAGGAACUUUAAUAGAACCCUUUUAUUAGUACUCGCGUACAAAUUU
rnacentral:misc_RNA from 1 species